GAUUACGGAGUGGGGUUAAAAUGUCAUUUCGGUUGGUUUGUCCUUCGGGGCAUUCUGGUCAACUUGGCUUUUACUCACUGUUGUCAUUGUCUUUGCCCAAGGUAAUUGCCUUGUGUGCAUGGCAUUGACCUUCUAUUUUAUGGUAAUGUGGCAUCUUUCGGGGUGCUCUCAUUCCAUAUAGUUUACUUUGAAAAAAUUAAGGUGUUUAAAGCAGGCGAAAAGGCUUCGGAAUAUAUUAGCAUGGGAUAAUAGAAUACGAUCUAGGUCGUAAUUUGUUGGUUUCUACGGCUUAAGUAAUGAUUGACAGGGAUAGUUGGGGUCGCUCGUAUUGAGUUGUCAGAGGUGAAAUUCUAAGAUUAACUCAAGACGAACUAAUGCGAAAGCAUUCGGCAAGGAUGUUUUCAUUAAUCAAGAACGAAAGUUGGGGGAUCGAAGAUGAUCAGAUACCGUCGUAGUCUCAACUGUCAACUAUGUCGACCGAGGAUCCGGUAGCGUUACAUGGAUGACCUUCCGGGCACUCUGUGAGAAAUCAUAAGUAU
rnacentral:rRNA from 1 species